rnacentral:rRNA from 1 species
UACGGAGGGGGGCUAGCGUUGUUCGGAAUUACUGGGCGUAAAGCGCACGUAGGCGGCUUUGCAAGUUAGAGGUGAAAGCCCGGGGCUCAACUCCGGAAUUGCCUUUAAGACUGCAUCGCUAGAAUCGUGGAGAGGUGAGUGGAAUUCCGAGUGUAGAGGUGAAAAUUCGUAGAUAUUCGGAAGAACACCAGUGGCGAAGGCGACUCACUGGACACGUAUUGACGCUGAGGUGCGAAAGCGUGGGGAGCAAACAGG